rnacentral:rRNA from 1 species
GGGAAUUUUGGACAAUGGGCGAAAGCCUGAUCCAGCAAUGCCGCGUGAGUGAAGAAGGCCUUCGGGUUGUAAAGCUCUUUUGUCAGGGAAGAAACGGUCGUGGCUAAUAUCCAUGGCUAAUGACGGUACCUGAAGAAUAAGCACCGGCUAACUACGUGCCAGCAGCCGCGGUAAUACGUAGGGUGCAAGCGUUAAUCGGAAUUACUGGGCGUAAAGCGUGCGCAGGCGGUUUUGUAAGUCUGAUGUGAAAUCCCCGGGCUCAACCUGGGAAUUGCAUUGGAGACUGCAAGGCUAGAAUCUGGCAGAGGGGGGUAGAAUUCCACGUGUAGCAGUGAAAUGCGUAGAUAUGUGGAGGAACACCGAUGGCGAAGGCAGCCCCCUGGGCCUGUACUGACGCUCAUGCACGAAAGCGUGGGGAGCAAA